rnacentral:rRNA from 1 species
UACGUAGGGUGCAGGCGUUAAUCGGAAUUACUGGGCGUAAAGCGUGCGCAGGCGGUUUCUUAAGUCAGAUGUGAAAGCCCCGGGCUUAACCUGGGAACUGCGUUUGAAACUGGGAGACUUGAGUGUGGCAGAGGGGGGUGGAAUUCCACGUGUAGCAGUGAAAUGCGUAGAUAUGUGGAGGAACACCGAUGGCGAAGGCAACCCCCUGGGUUAACACUGACGCUCAUGCACGAAAGCGUGGGGAGCAAACAGG